CAUAGUACCCAUGGCCACUCUGAUCAUCGCAGCCUCUCCUCCUCUCCUCGAUGAUGACUCAGGUAUCUCCACGACGUUUCUUCCCUAAUUUUCAUCUUCACAAGCGGCUAGGUCUCCCCUUAUUUUCACCUGGAUGCCCUCAUCGCUAUCGCCAUCCAAGAUUGUCAUCGUCUCUCCUCAAAGUUUCUGAAAAAUGCUUCUUCUCUCUUUUCUAUUCGCUUCAUCUGCAGGUUAAGCAUGCUCACGGGUCGGGCUGCCUCUUCAGGUUAGAAAGCUGAAAGAAAUUAUGAACAUUAAAGCCAAGUAAGAGAAGAAGGAUCUAAAUUUUAAGCUCUGAAGCAUAAGAAAAAGUGAAUGAGCUCAGUUUCAAUCUCGCCUAAUGAAUGCUAAUAAGGUGUAACUUGAAGGAAUGAAACGAAUUGGGAAGGGUAGAUGUAUGCUGAUAGAUGUUUAGAGAGGCUGAAGAACUACCUGCAACUUUGGCAGCAAGUAUGGGACAACCUGCUCAAACUGAUAAUGAUAUGGAGCUUGCUUUCGAAGUUGCUAAACAAAGACUUUUUAACUUCGUUUCCAAGUUGAAUUGAUUUUUCAGAACUUAACUAUUUGAUUCCACCCAUUUCUGGAACAAGUUGCUAUAAAUUGAGCUGCCAAGGAGAUAGGAAGAGCUGUUAUAAAAGUUGUGACUGUGACUAAGGCUAGAGGAGUAGAGGUAGCUGGAGCAGUGGACACUUUAUCAUGUUGGCGAAGAUAUUCGAAAGGUUUUUGCUUUUGGUGUCACUUUAGCUCCAUUAAAGCAAACCUAACUUCUUUAGUAUGUCUUUAAUAAUUAAUUAUUCAGAUUAUUUUCUUUUAUGGAAGAGUCACUUGAAAUAAACUUAAGAGAAGAUGUGACAGAAGUAUAGAAGCCUUCUAGAGAAUAUGGUUGCCUUUAUCUUGGAAAUGAUGUAGGCACAUCUAGGUUGCUGCUUUAUGUUUAUCCUUAUGCAUGGAAGUUGUAGAAGCUGCAUAGGUUAGUGAUAUUGAAGAACCCGGGAUCAUCCCACCAAAGUGUUGGAGGGAGCAAUUCCGAGUUGUGGAGGACCAUCAAAUUAUCAGAAUGAAAAUUGGCCCUCAGACUUUCUUUAGCCAGCUUAGCUUUUCUAUUUAUUAACUUUUGUAAUUUGAGCAAUGUAUUGAUCAAUUUUCAGACAUCGAAAUGGUAUUAUUGGUAUGCUAGAUCUGCUAAUUAGUGGAAAAGUUUGAAAAGAAAAAUGAAAUGAGAAAAAUGUUGUCUUGGAAGGUACUAAGUAGAACGGUAAGUCUAUUUGUUUGAGAGUUUAAUGAGUGUUUUGACAAUUUUAUUCUCUGUUUUUGAGGUUUCUAACAGUGUUGUUGUGAUUCUUUUUCUCUCUUUUUUUUUUUUCUUCUGAUUAGUGAAUGUUCGAAUCUACUUGACAUUAUCAUUGGAGCAAGGAAAUGGAAAAUGAUUUCUUUGACUUCCCUUUGACAAAUCAAAUUUGAGAGUUACUGAAAGUCUGGGAAAAGGAAAAUGAGAGGGCGGUCAAAUUUGAGAGUCUGGGUGCAACAAGGAAAAUCAAAUUUGGUCCCUGUUUUAAUACUCAUUGAUAGUUCUGAGUUUCCUUUUUUGUGUUAUCUUCUACUUUAUAGAGCUGGAUGGGUGUCUUCUUAAGAUUAUGCAUGGACUAAAGAAAUUAUGGAGUGUAAAAUCACCCAUGUGAUUCUAGGGUAGCUUUUGUAUCUGCUUUUGUUGAUUCUGAAGAGUUUUGAGUGAUCUGUAAUAAAGCAGGUACUCGUCCCUCUUGGUCUUAUCUCUCGCAGAUAGACUCCACAUUUCUAUUCUUCUCUUUAUUUUUUCAUUUAUGCCUUGAUUUGAGAUAGCACUGGGACGUGAUUUAUUUUUUAUUGGUGGUGGGGCUGCCACGUGAUGAUGUACUACAUUGGGGGUGUUUCUUUUUUUUUCAUACAUUGUAAUUGAGGUCUCUAUGUACUUCAUAGCAUUGUUGUUGGAACUUGAUUAAUUGAUGCUCAUUGAGAGAGUGUGUUCAUAA